AUUGAACGCUGGCGGUAUGCUUAACAUAUGCAAGUCGAGCGGCAGCACGGUAUGUAGCAAUACAUAUGGGUGGCAAGUGGCGGACGGGUGAGUAACGCGUAGGAAUCUGCCCUCAAGCGGGGGACAACCCGAGGAAACUCGGGCUAAUACCGCAUAAACUCGGAAGAGAAAAGCUGGGGUAACCUGGCACUUGAGGAGGAGCCUGCGUCUGAUUAGCUAGUUGGUAGGGUAACGGCCUACCAAGGCGAUGAUCAGUAGCUGGGCUGAGAGGAUGACCCGCCACACUGGAACUGAGACACGGUCCCGACUCCUACGGGAGGCAGCAGUGGGGAAUAUUGGACCAUGGGGGAAACCCUGAUCCAGCAAUACCGCGUGUGUGAAGAAGGCCUUCGGGUUGUAAAGCACUUUAGUUGGGGAGGAAGGUUAGCAGUUUAAGAGAUGGCUAAUUUGACUGUACCCAAAGAAUAAGCACCGGCUAACUCUGUGCCAGCAGCCGCGGUAA
rnacentral:rRNA from 1 species